ACAAGUCUGUUGCUCGUUCUUGUGCUGGCAUGGAAGGUCUCUCUUCUGUGCCACGUGCAGGGAUGACAUUUGUUCCAUGUUGCACGUUCACUCUGCACAUGACAUUCUACGAGUCAUCUGAUUAUCGACAAUGUUCAUAAACAAA
rnacentral:misc_RNA from 1 species